GUCUACAGCCAUGCUACCCUGAACAAGCCCGAGCCCGAUCCCAUCUGAUCUUGGAAGCUAAGCAGGGUCGGGCCUGGUUAAUAUUUGGAUGGGAGACCACCUAGGAAGACCAGGUGCUGUAGGUG
rnacentral:rRNA from 1 species